UACGCAGCGGGCUAGCGUUGUUCGGAAUUACUGGGCGUAAAGCGCACGUAGGCGGAUCGUCAAGUCGAGGGUGAAAUCCCGGGGCUCAACCUCGGAAUUGCCUUCGAAACUGGCGGUGUUGAGGUCGGGAGAGGUGAGUGGAAAUCCGAGUGUAGAGGUGAAAUUCGGAGAUAUUCGGAAGAACACCAGUGGCGAAGGCGGCUCACUGGCCCGAUACUGACGCUGAGGUGCGAAAGCGUGGGGAGCACACAGG
rnacentral:rRNA from 1 species